AUUGAACGCUGGCGGCAGGCCUAACACAUGCAAGUCGAGCGAGCGGCGGACGGGUGAGUAAUGUCUGGGAAACUGCCUGAUGGAGGGGGAUAACUACUGGAAACGGUAGCUAAUACCGCAUACCAUCAGAUGUGCCCAGAUGGGAUUAGCUAUUAGGUGGGGUAAUGGCUCCCCUAGGCAACGAUCCCUAGCUGGUCUGAGAGAAUGACCAGCAACACGGGAACUGAAACACGGUCCAGAGUCCUACGGAAGGAAGCAGUGGGGAAUAUUGCACAAUGGGCGCAAGCCUGAUGCAGCCAUGCCGCGUGUGUGAAGAAGGCCUUCGGGUUGUAAAGCACUUUCAGCGGGGAGGCGUUACCCGCAGAAGAAGCACCGGCUAACUCCGUGCCAGCAGCCGCGGUAAUUC
rnacentral:rRNA from 1 species